ensembl:snRNA U2 U2 spliceosomal RNA
CUCGGUUCUCAGCCUUUUGGCUAAGAUCAAGUGUAGUAUCUGUUCUUAUCAUAGAAUCAUAGAAUAGUAGAGUUGGAAGAGCCAUCCAGUCCAACCCCCU